UACGAAGGGGGCUAGCGUUGUUCGGAAUUACUGGGCGUAAAGCGCACGUAGGCGGAUACUUAAGUCAGGGGUGAAAUCCCGGGGCUCAACCCCGGAACUGCCUUUGAUACUGGGUAUCUCGAGUCCGGAAGAGGUGAGUGGAAUUCCUAGUGUAGAGGUGAAAUUCGUAGAUAUUAGGAAGAACACCAGUGGCGAAGGCGGCUCACUGGUCCGGUACUGACGCUGAGACGCGAAAGCGUGGGGAGCGAACAGG
rnacentral:rRNA from 1 species